rnacentral:tRNA from 1 species
UAUGUUUUAGUAUAUGAUGUAUAGAAAUUUUUGAUAUUUCAGGGAACAGUUUAAUUCUGUUAGACAUAA